rnacentral:lncRNA from 1 species
UUGUGAUAUAAUUCUUUCUCCCGGACAUAAUAUUCAUCUUGGGUUAAAAAAAAAAUUCGGCUGAAUCGACUACACAUUUUGAGCUCUUCAAGUUGUCUUCAAGGUAUGCCAAUCAAUCUUACUAUUAAUUUGUAAAUUAUGUAGAAAAUAUAAGUACAUAAUCUUGAAUUUUGAGAUUACGUUUUCAAUUUCUCGCUAUGGAAAAGCAAAUAAAUAUGGAGGCUGUUCUUCUGUAUGAAUUUUGAGAUUUGGCAUAUUUGAAGUUGUCCUUUUUGGUUGGUUGUUGCGCUAAGAUAGAGUGGGAUUUUAUCCCCAAUUUUAGGGAGAUCACGGGACUAGGAAAUAAAGGGGAAGUGGCUAGAAGAGGGGUAAUGGAAUCUGCCGUAGCUACUGGUGUUUGAUAACUGUGCUAUACAGAACACAAGCUUUCCCAUUGGUUCAAUCAAAAACUAAGCACUUCUAAUGGAUUUUGUUAUACACGUGAUUAUUUUAAUCAAAGGAUGUCAGAAUUUGCCAUAGAUUAAGGGGUAAUGGAAUUUUUUUCAAGGCAUGGGGAUAACAUAACAUGGGAAUAUAUGAUUUUUCUUUGGUGGAGUGCAGUGCAAUUUGCUUGCUUUGUGACUUUUGGCAUUAUUUUUGAGAUUUUAAUUCAUUUUUUCGAUUUUUCGAAGAAGAUGGUUUUUCUGAAUUAGAAUGUGUAUACUAUAAUCAAGAAUUUAGUACAUUUGGCACUUUGGCAAUGGAUUCCAAUUCAUCAAUUUCUUUUGUGUAUGUUAUUUCUAUGGUUGGAAAGGCAUUGUGUGUUUAAUAUUGCAAUGAGAAUGAUGAUACUCUGAUUGCAAAUAAUAUAUUCAUGUAAAGAUGUCCUUAAACUGGGACAAAUAAUUUAGUCAAGAUUCUUCUUCUCAUUCUAUAUUAACAGUGCACUUUGCAGCUGGUUCUGUAUUGAGUCUUUUGAUCACUAUGUGUUAUUCUGCAUUAACAAUUCACUGUUUGUUUUUAUGCGAAUUCAUCCAUGAUAAACAUGCAAAAUAUUUGCUUCU